rnacentral:ncRNA from 1 species
UUAGCUAUUUUAGAUAAGUUUGUAUUCAUCAUUAUGGAUACAAACAUACAACGUAAGUUUGUAUCUAUGAUGGCUAGAGAGUUUUGCAUCUGCAAAAAAGCCGCGUAGACAAUCGCUAAGUGGCUAGCAGAAACCGAUUUUUAUCGACUUUUUCAAUCCAUUUAGACGUAUUGUCUGAAUGGAUUUUUUAUUUUCAGAA